rnacentral:ncRNA from 4 species
AUCCCGGACGAGCCCCCA